UACGUAGGGUGCGAGCGUUAAUCGGAAUUACUGGGCGUAAAGCGUGCGCAGGCGGUUGGUUAAGUCUGAUGUGAAAGCCCCGGGCUCAACCUGGGAAUGGCAUUGGAAACUGGCCAGCUGGAGUGUGGCAGAGGGGGGUGGAAUUCCGCGUGUAGCAGUGAAAUGCGUAGAGAUGCGGAGGAACACCGAUGGCGAAGGCAGCCCCCUGGGCCAACACUGACGCUCAGGCACGAAAGCGUGGGGAUCAAACAGG
rnacentral:rRNA from 1 species